CAUUUCGUAGACAAAAAUCGAACCACAAUUUUUGGCUACAAUCAGAAAAAAUGAAAUCAUUAAUUUAAAUAUUUGGAAGCUUCAAAAUUUAUUUUGGAAAAAGUUUUUGAUUAGCUUUAUAUUUUAUAAAAAAAAAUUUAAAUUAAGUACUUUCCGGCAAUUUUAUGCACAUCACAUACAUCAUAUCAUACGGAUCAUCUCAACGCCACCAAAAAUAAUUCACGAUGAUAAUAGAUAGAUUUUUACUUGAAAUAGCUUAUGUUAUUUCACAGGUUCUAUACUUAUAUUUGCAAAAAUUUACUGAAAACCCAUUUGCGCUUAUUGGAGCACUGAUCAGCAUUAUCCAUGGUAUCAUACGGAGUUUAUGUGCAAUGCUUGAAGAAGUGAAUGAGUAUGAUAUACAUGAACUGGAAGUAAAAGAAGUUCCAAUUAUUUAUACGAUUACAGAAUCAAUGAAUCAGCUACUUCCAAUUGCGUUUACCAACUACUAUUUCUAUGCGCAGUCAGAAUCAUUGAAACGUUGUGCCCCUGCACAUUUCUUCACACUGUUGAUAUAUUUUUACGUGAUCUUCGCAAUUGUCCACGAUGAUGAAUUAAAUGAAAGUCUAUGGGAUUAUAAAACGGUAGCAGUGGUGGCGAAUUGUCUGUCCAUGUGCUAUGUAGGAUAUGUGGAAAGUAAAGUAUGUGUUGUGUAUGCUUGCAUUAAAUUUUUGGAAGAAGUAAGCACACGAAUUUGUAGAGGAGAGUAUCGAAAAGGUAGAGAAUACCUAACUCCAAUAUUCGGAAUUGUAAGAACUGUUGCCGUGUUAGUUUUAGCAAAAUUGUAUUUCAAUAAUUAGAAAUAUUUAUUUUGCAUUCAACAUUGAACAUAAAACUUGAAACUAUAUUAAGGCAAAACGAUUAGCAACAUAAUGUCAUGGAAAUUACACGAAUAAAGUGAAGACUGUGAUAAAGCUGGAACAUCUCAACAACCAUAGUUAAUUUUUCAGGAAGAUUACAGUAGAUAUCCAAUAAUAAUAUACAACUGCUGACUAUGUAGUUCCGAUUAUAGUUUAUUCCUUGCCACUACUUCUUCCUAAGAGCUAUUCAUUACAUCAGUAAGUACCCAACAUUUACUUUGGUCAAGUGCAUAACAUUUCGAUUCUCCACAAGUUCGACUUUUGUACUGUUUUUAUGGCUUGAACUAAGAUAAAGUUGUUUCGAAGAAAGCUAUCCUGAAAAUAUCGAAGAUGAUUUCAAUUUCCACACGUUUUCAGUUCCAUUUUCAACAGCACAUACUAAAUAUAACUACCUUUUACUAUGAAUAUACAUGAAUAUCUUCACAAAGUGGAAUGAAAAUCAAUUCAAAUAUAUAUCUUUGGACUUAAACAAGGAUUGGUCAUACUAUUGUUUGCUGUAAUGCUUUUGGAAAGAGAAAUAAUUCCAAAAGAAUCAAUUGAUAUUCUGCACAAUAUUGGAGCAAACAUAUUUAAGGAACUUCAUAGACUUGAUAUCACAAGGUGUAAUGGUACAUUACAACAGAGCAUCCAAUGUUGAUGGCAGAAUCCUUUUCGACAUUUAUGCGAACGAGGCGUCCGGCCAUUCUUAGAUCGCCUAUUUAAGAGUUUAGAUGAGAUGCGUCCACACAUCCUAUCCCUCAGCUAUUGCACUAUCCUAGAGAUCCUCCUGAAAGACACACACUACAUGUAUUGAACUAAUCAAAUCCAUUUAAUUAUUCGAUUAAUGGUAUUGUAGCGUUUCCUACACUACACAUACAUGUAAAAACGCUGGUUAUCAAGAGUGAUGAAAAUCUCAACGUGGCUGAAGCUUCCUUUUUUUUCUUGUUUUCAUUUUAAAAACUGCACUUCCAAAAGCGAUAUGUUACAUAUUUUCUAUGUAGUAGCAAUAGAGAAGAAUUGAAUUCCGUAAGUGAUUGGCUAUAUGCAUAGAAGUUUAAGCUUGAUGAAUACAUUAUUGGCACAAUGAAAUAAUUAGAGAUUACUAAAUCACGGACUGUGCUGGAAAAAGAACUACAUCACCAACCACGGUAUCAGCAAUACUAUGCUGUAUAUGAGGUGCGAGGUAUCAAGAGAGAAUAAAAGAAAUCUAAUGAUGAACAAUUUAAUCAUCAACAUAUCACAUUUAUAUCAAAAAUUCGAUUGUAGCAUCUUCUAAGCUAGAAGCUAGACCAGUUAAGUCUCAAAAUAACGCAUCUAUUGCCACGUUCAUGGUAUUAAAAGUGAUAUCAACUUUAAAAAUAUUAAGCUGAUAAUGAUAAUGAGCAUAUCGUCGCGUUAAAGUAAUCAACUAUUGAGUAUGAACAUGCUAGAUCAAGAAUAGCGCAAUAUUAUAAUUUUUUCAUUGAUUAUCGUUUUCAUAAUACCAUGAUAAAUACCAAGAACCAGCUGUCAGACGUGAGUUAUAGAAAAUAAACAAAUGGAUUUUGCACCUUUACGGUUGAAGGUACUAUAAUGUUAUUGAUUUUAAAUCAACAUGAAGUCUACUAGCAUUGUGAUUUAUGCUAAGAUUUAUGAUUAUCAAACCUUCAUGGAUUCAUUGAACCCACACCGGAAUAAUGAAAUACAUAACGAAAGGCAUUUUGGCACCUUCAAUGAUGAAGAACCUUCUUAGAAUUUAUCACUGAUGAUUAUCUGUAUGUGCUAUAUUGUCAAGUUAGUACAAAAAAUUAUUAUAAACCGAUUAAAUUGUUUUUAAAUUUUACAAU